rnacentral:lncRNA from 1 species
AGAUGGCAGAACAACCAUACUAAGAGGUAUUGAAGGCUUUCUGUGUGCUGAAGAGCGUUCCAUGGAUUGUUCCAUUUAAGCCUCAGAGCAGUUCUGUGACGUGAUAUGUUGAUGUGACACUUAAGAUCAUGACGAAGACGUAUUAGAAGAAAGAGCAUGAAAACCAAAAACACAGGGAGAAGCUAGUCAAAUGAGGACAUGCCUGUGGCUUUCUUCUCUCAUCUAUGUCUUCGUGGAGAAGCAUCAUCUCUGUGCAGAAUCCAGAGCUCUGGCAGUUUAAAGUGUCCCAUAUUGGUAACAAAAUACAAGGAGGCAUUGGCCAUGCCAUCAACACUGCUCCCUCAUUCCCUCGGGAAGAUGGAAACUGCUGUAGAGGCCAGACAGCAGGCUGGCUGUGCCGCCCAGGAGGCACCACUGACCCGGAGGAGGUAUGGCUGUCCUCUGAGCAUCUCGCAGAGCAGAAGGAAGGGGUCUGUUCCAGCCCCCAAAGAGAAUGAAAACAUCCCUCACCCCCAUCGUCUUCAGGUUUUACUUUCUCCUCUCCCUCUUUCGUUACACCAGUUAACUUCUUUAAGGAGCAGGUUUCACCUGAUACCUCCAUUCCCUGCUUCUGGUCUGGCUUCCUCUCUCCUGCUCUGUUGAACCAGAUUCUAAGGCAUCAG